rnacentral:hammerhead_ribozyme from 1 species
AUGGGAUGAUGAGUCCCAAAUAGGACGGGACGCGCGUCCUGGAU